rnacentral:rRNA from 1 species
CCUACGGGGGCAGCAGUGGGGAAUAUUGCACAAUGGGGGGAACCCUGAUGCAGCGACGCCGCGUGAGUGAAGAAGUAUUUCGGUAUGUAAAGCUCUAUCAGCAGGGAAGAAAAUGACGGUACCUGACUAAGAAGCCCCGGCUAACUACGUGCCAGCAGCCGCGGUAAUCCGUAGGGGGCAAGCGUUAUCCGGAUUUACUGGGUGUAAAGGGAGCGCAGACGGCUGUGCAAGUCUGGAGUGAAAGGCGGGGGCCCAACCCCCGGACUGCUCUGGAAACUGUAAAGCUGGAGUGCAGGAGAGGUAAGCGGAAUUCCUAGUGGAGCGGUGAAAUGCGUAGAUAUUAGGAGGAACACCAGUGGCGAAGGCGGCUUACUGGACUGCAACUGACGUUGAGGCUCGAAAGCGUGGGGAGCAAACAGGAUUAGAUACCCUUGUAGUC